AUCUAUGGCCAUACCACUCUAAAUGCACAUAAUUGUUUAUGAUCUUGGAAGCUAAGCAGGGUCCAACUUGAAAGGGAGAAUUUAACUUAGAUUGAUGUGGGUG
rnacentral:rRNA from 1 species